rnacentral:tRNA from 1 species
AGAAAGUUAGUCUAACCAAGACAGUUGAUUUCGACCCAACAAAUCAUAGCUCGUCCCUAUGACUUUCUU